UCGUUACAAUUUUAUUUAAAGACACAAUCUCGAAGCUGUGAAAUCAUCGUCGUAAUUUCAUUUAAAAAAACGUAACCAUGCUUGGCCAUUUAAAAAUCGUCAUUGAACGACAGUGUAACCUUAUCAGUAGAAAAUUGCAGGAAGAAACAGAUAUAUGAACCGAUGCUAAGAAAAAAGAAAUAAAAAACAAAGAUAGCGAACCAGGGAUGUAAAUCAUUCUCCUCUAUUCUUCUGACCUUAAGUUUUCUCUUUCAAACGAACGUUGAAUAUUCCCCGAAUUUAUCUUUAUCGUAAAUUUAUUACUCGAUUCUUCGCCUUCUCCGAGAAUACGCGGUAGAAUUUUUCGACGAAACCAUCGUCAACACGCGAAAGAAUUCUAAUAUUAGUCCGUAUUAUGGUUUCGCGGUUGUGUAACGCGAAAACAGACGGCAGAAAAGUUUCCAUCGUUUCCACGAUGGCAUUUGGAACGAACGCGGAUCGUUUCAGCGCGUUGAAUUACAGGAUACGCUUGAUUAGCCGAAUUACAAGAACGAUACUGGGGUCGUAAGGGGAUAAAAGCGAACAGAGAAACCCCACACGCGUCAUAACCGCAAAGGUUAAAGAAGAUUUAUGGCGAGCGGGUCAGAGUCGACGAACUCUCGAAUCGAAUAGCGUAGCUUCAAACUGAAUAAACGAUCACCUGCUUCGAUCCUACAGCGAGCGUCAAAACCAAGAAAGUGUCAGAAUAACAUUUGUCAAGUAAAUAUGCGAGACAGACUUACGAUCUCCACAAACCUCCAAGAUCCAAAAUGGAUAAAAACUUAGAGAGUGUAAGAAAAGGCUCGUGACGCGGGAAGUCAUCCGUCAUAUCUGUAAUCCCCAUGAGUUUUAUACCCUUCCUUAAUCAUUUUCACAUAGAUAACAAGUUUUAGCGUGCUGACUCUAUAAAUAAUCCAGUAGACGUGGUGUGUGUUACGAGCAGCGUUUUAAUGAUAUUGAAACUAACCGAAGCGCAACCGACGAGAUAUUAGAAUUGUCAAACGUUAUGAAUAUUUAAGGUUGCAGUCUGUCACAAAGUUUCGCGUUACGCUCAACGUAAUGCAUAGAAUACACCGGCUCGUGAAGAGGCUAAAUCGAUGCUAACGACGUCGAAAUUGGUUACGCUUACGGCAUCGUAAAUAGUUAAAAUAAUUUAUUGAUUUACACGAACGAUCCAAGAGAAAUUUUCCUAUUAGUCGUAAUAGAAAUUUGACGAUUCGCAGAUAAAAGGAUAUCGAUAGAAAUGAAACAUAUAGUGGCUCAUAAAAUAGCCACUAUAUGUUUCUCAUAAAAUAGCCACAAAAUGACUCGAACAUUUAUAGAAACCCAUUCUGAAAUUUUACUAGCACUGUUGCAAGACACGACUAUCAUUACAUUGGCAAAGAUUGGUAAACUUUGAAACAAAAUUGAAAAUACAUAAUAAGCUUCGAUAUUUAGUGGGACAAUUUAUAUAACACUAAUCUAAGUUUCAGACCUUUAUCCGUGCUGUAUAUUAACUUUUUAAUAAAUACGUAUUUACAAUACAACAAUGACAAUCGUAUGUCAUUAAUGGCAAUGAGACGCUUCAAAAAGUUUCGUGCAACAGGUAUAAUAUAUUCGUAAAAGUUUUCCAUGAUAAAUGGAAGAAUACUUUCCUUUCUAUAUCUACUAAAAAUUACUCCUUGGUGGUUGGCGCAAUAACAGAAGUGCAAUUCACACCUCCGAUAUUAUCCUAUGUGAUAGUACAGAUCGAUAACAUGAGUUUAAUCGUACUUGUGAAAAGCAGAAGCUUUUCUAAUUACUAGUUAGAGAUAACGUUUCAGCCACCAACAAUCUUUCAAGAGUAGCAGUUUUCACAUUUUUUUCCUAUGUUCUUUCAAUCAAUACGAUGUGCAAUUGCUUACGUUUAUCGUUGAAUAAAUACUGACGUUAUGGGACGACUAUAUAUUUUUUUUUAAUUAUCAUAUAAUGUCGGUUAAGAAUAAGUGUAAUCAAUGUUUCUAGUAUUUUCGAAGCUGUUCUUUCUUUCUUUUUUGUAGGAUAUCACUUAUCGGUAAAAGUGAGUGGUCAUUUUAAAGCAAUAAGCUGAGUCUUGUUUCGAUAGGUCAAUCGACAACAACAACAACGAGUUAAUGAUAAUGGCACGCGAAUAACAACGCUCGAUUGUGUAAUAGCGAGCACAUCAAAACAGCCUGUAUUGGUCCAGAUAAUCGAGAUUGCUUCUCAACUGAGAGGUUUGUACCACAUACAGGAUGACUCGGCAGGUUCGGCGUGACCUUUUGCGGGGCCGGGUUCAAAAAUUUUGCGGGGCCUGAAUACACAUUCAAAUCCUACACUUAAAUUUUACAACGACGAAUUAUUUAUUUACGAAUGCUGUUACAUAUUGUAUAUUUUUUACAAGAUGAAUAUAAAAUAAUAAUAGAAUGCAAUAAUAAUAUUAAAUAAUUUUUUUCGCUUUUUUCGAUGCCAAAUCUUUCAUAACAUCAUAAAAAUCGACUGAAUUUGCGACUUCACUUUCUAUUGACAGAAUAGCCUCUAAAAAAAUCUCGCUUUGUCGAUGCUCGCAGAUAAAUUUCCUAGACCUCGGGGCCUUUCAAAACGCGGACCGGCUUCCGACGAACGCGCUGAACCCGCCUUGCGCUCGCUCUGUGAUUCGGUUACUGAUACACAGGCAGCUAUAACUAUAUUUAGAGUUGUCGAUACUUUCGAGAUAUAAACAAUAAGAAAAAUAGCGGUAGAUAACAAAAGAUAGAAUUAGAUAGAAAAAGAUAGAAAGAUAGAAUCGACUGUCGAUAAGUGUAGAGAAAGAAAUUUCGUAUAAGUGUUCGCCGAAGCACGAUAUAUCAUUAUCAAUGCUAGCGACGGCAGAUCGUCGACAUUUGGCUACAAUUAGCAGACAGUCGAGCAAUGAUUAAACGAAGAUGAUGUUCGGUGAUGGAUAGGUCAAGGAGGCUCGUUUCGUGUCAAGAUCAUAUGAUAUUACACCACGACACUUUUAUCGGCAGAUUUUGUAACAAACACGAUCGAAAAAGAAAUUCAUGUGCGACGUAAGUGAACAGAGCACCCAAACUAUGGAGUUUACGUUCGAAAGAAAGUAACAUCAUCAUUGGAUAUUUAAUACAUCGAUCUAGGAUUGUCAUGAUCGCACGUGACGCAUUUUUCUUCCUACUUAUAGAAUUUUAUUAGCACGGCCUCAAUCACAGGUUCAAUAUUGAAACGAUCUUAGUGACGUACCGCAUUCAAAACGCCUAACGCGAUUCGCGUUACUCUUACGCUAGCGAGUUGCACUUGGCGAAACUGUAUAAACAUCGCAUAUUAUAAUCAGAUCAGAAUAUUGCGGAAUCAGAUGGACUGAUCAUGUAUUUCCAUCUAUUUGUCUAUUUUUCAUUAAAUAGUCGUGGAUAUUUCUAAUUAAGGAAUUAACGUCAUCGAACAAAGUUCACGAUUACAAGUCACGAGUUCUUUAUUUCUUGUUGCAAUAUAACGUUAAGUAGGCGAACAGUUAAUUAUUCUCGAAAAGUGUGAGCACGAUCGUCUGUUCGUUUGCUCUGAAGCGAGAAAAAAUACAGCUGUUCCGUGCAUACAUUCCUCUAUCGCACGUUAGAUUUCAGCGUGGUUCACAGCUGCGGAGCAGCACGUGAUGAUGACAUAAUGGGCGCGCGACGUAACCGCGAUUAUGUUCGGAACGCGCGAUAUUGUCGCGCGCCAUUAAUUUACAAAGUGGCCCUUAUAACCCCAUGGACCGUGACCGCCGGUUUCUUCCAAUUUCCCGUGCAUUUGCAGAACGUAUUCUCCGAAAAAUGUUUCGCGAGUUUGCAACAUACAAUGACUAUAAAAAGUAUAGACACAUAAGCGUCCUCUUAUUUUCUGUCUUUUACAUUUUCUAUUUUAUUUCUAUAAUAUAGAAUUUUUCUAAUCAUACGAAAGUACUAUCAAAUGAUACCAGAUUAAUAUAUCUUCGGUCUAAUUAAUCGAUAGGUAAGUAGCAUUGUGCAUUAUACGAAAGAAGAAACUGAAAGGAACAUUCGGUACGUAAAAAUUGGACAAGCGAGUCGAGUCGUUCGGUGUGGAAAAAUCUUGAAGAAAUUUUAUUGCGUGUAUGUGAUCGAUCUUAAAUCGCAGCGUGAACUUGUGAGAACGGCGCGAUGGAAAACUGUUCGAUAACAGUUGUAAGAGAGAUACUGAUACACGUGAACCAGUUUACGUGGGUGGAAAGUGAUAUAACCGGUUACGAAUUCUGGUUUAAUAACUCCGUCCACUUGCUACGUUACCGUAUAAACAUGCUGUAAACUGUCUGCAAUAGUCGAACAAUCCUCAAGAUACCAAUUUUCAAACGAUACUACAAUUUUACUAAAACGAUAUUAAUAUGGCAAGAAAAUGAAACCCCCGAUAAAAGUAACCACUUCGAAAAAAAAAAAACGUUCAUUAUGCGGUUUCAAGUUUCCAAAAUAAUAAUUCAUCAUGGUGUAAGCGUUCGUUGCGUCUUCCAGCCAUCAGAAUGCACAAUUCGACACACAGUCUCUUCCAAGCUCGUUGAGAAUCUCAUUGAUCGCGAUCACAAAGGCCGCCGCGCUUCAAGCAGAAAAACAUCUCCUCGAGGUCGUCGAGAUCUGCUCGAAGGUUCGUUCAACCUUGUCGAAGACACAAGGCGAGCGUAAACGCCGCAUCCCGAUCACUGACUACGUUUUCUCGGCGAAUUUCACCACGGACCUUGCACUUUGACCUUCUUUAUUUUUAGUCCCUUUUCACCGAGACCACCUCGUAAAUCGCGACGCGAAACAGCAACAUCGUCGUGCAAAGAAUCGAACAAGUCGAAGAACGUCGGAGGAGGGUCGAAGAAAUCUCUGCGGCGGAAAUUGAGUCAGAUAUCGAGUUGAAUUAAGAUCUGUGACGCUCAAACUACUCAACGUGCUUUCGUUUAUAUACGGAAAAUGCUUCUAACAUUCAUUCGAUUACUUUUUAUUAACUGAUAUUGACACUUUUAGAGUUUAGCCUUGUUCUUGCCGUAGUAUAGCGUACACAGCGGAAACUAGAAAGUUGAAAGUCGGUGAACGUUGCCAUUGAAAUUAUUCUUGCAGACGCGAGGAUUAACCUUCCUUUGAUUACGUGUUAAACUAUGCGUGUAACUUCUUAACGAAUACGCGUGCACAACAAUGCCACGCCUUUUACGUAAACCGGAUGAGAAAAAUGACGCAUCGUAUCUUCCUGCCUGCUCCAUUGUGUGCCAUAUUUAACGGCGCGUCGACUUCGUGCGAUGACUCUAAACAGACCUCAACUAAUCAAGCAGCUGUUUUAAACGCGUAAUUCUCAUUCCUCCGUCGUGUUAAUUACCAUGUCGGUGAUCAUAUUUAGAAGAUUUAAGAACUAUUUAAAACCAAGGUUCUCUUACUUCUCUCUGGAUAAUCAUGAUUCAUGGUUGAAUAUAGCUGCUCGAUGAGAUCAUAAAUACAUACAUAUUAUUCUGCAAAAAUUUAUUCUAUACAAUUAUAUAUCUUAUCUCAAUGAAACCUAUUACGUAUCGAUGAGCACAGAAGAGAAAACUGAGAAAUCGAUAUACAACACGCGCUGUCUAUAACGCGAUCAUCGAUCUUUCACAACGAUUCGUUUCGUUCAGUCUUUUUUCACCUUCCUAUUGAAUUUGGGCUAAACUUGUCGAAAGGAGUCGCAGGUGAUAGAAAAAGAAUUCCACGUCGCUAAAACUUCCAUUUUAUCGAGACUCUUUGAAAAUUACACGAUAAUCUUGUCGCGUGAUUUGCGUCGGUCCACGAUAAUUACGUACAUUGUUCAUACUAUUUUCCCGAAACGAUCGGUUUGGAAUGUGCAGGUUGCGGAACGAGGCAAUAAAUCGCGAAAAGUUGGCGGUACUGCAAGGUAGUUUCUCAUAAGUGUGUUUCUGAAGUUUGCAAGCGCCGAUCGCGCCGGGUUAACGAGAAUCAUUAAUGGCUGCCCUGCAGCGGACUAUGACACGGUGUAAAUGAAAAAGGGGCAAGCAGUUGCGUCGACGCGGGAACGCCGACCUCGAUCCUUCUGUGUCGAACGAAAUUCCUGUCUGACCCGAAUUUCACGUUAACUGCGACGAGCAACGAGGAAAGAAGAGAAAGAAGAAUAAAUAAAUAAGAAAAAAAAAAAAACAGUACUCGUACGGAUUUCACCGAACGCUUCAGGCUCGUCACGAACGAUAAAAAAUGAUCGUAUCGAAAAUUUCUUUCUCACCUAGCGUACAACGCAACACGUGUCUGCGAUUAAAAGCGCGCGGUAGAAAACUUUUCCUUCGUUUCCGCGAGCUGCACCGUUUCCAACGCCUAUCUUUGAUCUCGCUUCUUAACUUAAACGCGAUACUCGAACGUAUUACGUACUUAAGUCUAGUCUAGUACCUGAUUACGUAUACGCACCGACGAUCCUUCUUUUCUUCAUCCUCUACUUCUACGUAUAAUACUUAUCGCGAUAGAACUCCGUUUGUAUAAUCUUGGCGGCAGACAAAUGAAUCGGUGAAUUGAGAAACGAUACACGUUCAAUGUGGCGUUAUUUUAUACAUUUAAAACGUAGAAAAAAGAUUACUCGUAUAAUUACAUAUAAAUGAACGUUUAUCUGAAUCAACGUGAACGAGUUUAAAUUGAAACAGUACUAUAAAACCAAUGGCAAUAAUCGAUGGCGCGCAGAAGCUACAGCUAUUUUGCAAAAUAUCUGUAAAUGUUGUUCUUGGACUUUUAAGGUUCUUCAACUGAUCGAUUUAAGUAGUUAUAUCAUAAAACAGUACUCCGCUUGAUACUUCCAACUUUCUAUGAUUUUUUAUUCGCACAAGUAAUAGGAGUUGACAUUUAGGUAAGUGGGUUCAAUAACAGCAAGAUUUCGUUUCAUAAGACAUUAUCUAAAAUUUCAUCUAUUAAAUAAAUCCAUUCAAUUCUACUGUGCUUCGAACCCAAACGAGAUAUUCGAAUCCUUCGCGAACGCAACUCUAUCAAGCUGCUACUUUUUAAUUUCCUCUAUUUCGUUCAAAGUAAACGGGAUCCGUGUACUUAUGUAACUAAGAAGUUGAUAAAAAGUGGAAACUAUAAGACGAAAGAAUACUAAUUACAUCGAAACCGAUGAUAAAUCAUGAGAUCGAUAUAAUCGCGGAAGAUAAUCGGCAUCGUUCAUUAAUUGCCGCGAAGGACAAUAACGCCGCGGUCUUAAACAAUGGUCGCGAUAGUGUAACUUCCGGCAGUGAUCGAAUAUCCCGCGACAGGGUAGUAAAUAUUCGAACCGAUUGCCAUUUCUUAGGCGAAUCGCCGGUACACGGUCGGAAAGCCAAACGACUUAAUCGGCGAUCUGCACGCCGGCCAGGAAUUUAUGCAAAUCACGGUAUCCGCCAGACUUUGCGAUUGCACUCGCGCCGGUUCAAAGAUAGCGCUGACAAAUUGGCCCCAGAUUAAGGGCAUUUCGGAGAGGCAUGCACGGUAACCGGGUAAGGCGAAACGAAACUGGGUCUGCGACCCCCAACACGCGCUUUCGUCUAACUAUACGUUUCGCUUCUCGUCCCCUCUUGUACUUCCAUCCAUUCCAGGUAUGCAAACACGUCGAUAUCGUUCCGAUUCAUUCGAUAUUGAUAUUUAAACACGCGUUAAGUGGCCAAACAGUUUCCACUUCGUUUAUUCCGCAUCGAUCUGAUCAUCGUUACGACUCUUGCUUGAUGAAAAACCAUUAGAACGAAGCGACUGGAAGCGAUGGAUUAUGGUUUUAAAGUGGCUUACGAACGUGUUUAAAUACCAUCUUCAAUUAGUGGUACAUAUCAAUCGAAUCGUUAUUGUAUCUGUGAUUUGAAACGUUAAUGGUCUUUUUGUUUGUUAGAACGAAAGGAAAAUACUUAUCAAAAUAUAUCGAAGUUUAUCAAUAUAAUGGAUAAUUGUUUAAAUACUCGUGUGAUCUGUGCCAAUAAUAUCGUACAUAUUAUAUGAAUUCUACGUACAUUUUGAUUUGUUCCAAGCUCUAUCGGUAUAAUAAUGGUAAUUGAGUCUCAUUACAGCUAAUGACAAGAUUAAAAAAUGUUCCGUACACGUGAUAUAUCCAUAGAAUAUCUGUAUAUAUAUAUAUUCGAAUAUAUUUACGAGCCACGAUAUGCAAUUAUGGAAAAAGCGAUUCUUCUUGGAAGUAAGGUUUGUUUUCCUCGACUAUGUUCCUUGGCAAAUGCUUCCAAGUGAAACGUGUUAAUGGACAUUAACGUAUCGCGACUCGCGCGAAUUGCAAAAUUAGAACGUAAAUCUCGUCAGUGGCUUCUCCGUGGCGGGAAAUUUUUCACGGUAAAUAUUUGUCAGCCCAGGCAUGUUUUUUCGACGAUCUAUUUACGAUGUUUAUUCACCCAAUUUAGAUCACGUCGCGCUAUGUUACACCACUUCCGCGCCUCGUUGCGCCCGACAUUCAUAUUUAAUUAUUCAUUCCACAUAACACAGCGAUAUAAGUACUCGAUCGUGUAUAUGUUUCAUAUUCUGGCGCACGAUCGGCUCGAUAAAGGUUGACGCGUGCCAUGCGAUCUUUCGCGAUACAAUUACAUCGGUAAUAACAAUUGUGUUCGAGUGCUUCGUGCUCAUGACCCUCUCAAAUUAAAUAUGGUACAAUAGAGCCACGUUAAGUGGCCGAGAGUUUGCUUCGUUAACUAGCCAUCGCUAUCCCCACCAAUUCUUAGAAUUGACUUCGCGAACCGAGACUCUAAACCCUCUAUCAACUAAUUUAUCAACUAAUGAUAUUAAUGAAAUGAUCACGUCGAAUUCGAACCCAUCAAGUACCAUCGUUGCCUUAAUGCAACAUUUCAUUCGUAACGUUCUUUAAUCAAAUGCGAAAAAGAAUCGCAAAAAUUUGCUCCACUUUUUUCUUUAUUUUACUUCCGUCAAUUAUUAAGUUCGAUUCAUUUCCUCGCUACUUCUCCUUCUAUGUACAUCCACAAUUUUAUGGAGUUUGACGAAAUUGAAAUAUUGCGUGAUACCGUGACGAGAUCUAUUUUUUUUUCAGAUUAUAAAACUUUUUUAGGGUCUGCAAUUUGUAUAGCGGAUUUAACGUAUCUGUUAUUCUAAUACAUUUCGUAUCGUACAUCUUGAUAGAGCAACUGAAAUAACUUACUUUACUUACGUUCUUUAGCAAUGUUGCAAUGUUUAUGCAAUUUUGUCCUCAAUAAAAACCCGAUUUCCUUCAAUUCUGUCUCUUUCAUCCUUCAUUCUACGAUAUCUUACAUUCAACGAAGCAGAGAGUACGUACAUCAGAACCAUUCAUACCAACUCCAUUUAUACUCAAUUUUAGUUAACGUUUGAUUAAUCUGAAUCUACUUAUCUAAACGUGAACACGUAUUACUAGAACGGAGAGUGACGGAAUUACCGUACUCCUAUUACACCGACCCCAAUUAUACGAACUAUUUAUCCACUGAGAAGUUCAUAUAAACGUAGAUCAAUUCAAAAUCUCCUACGUUCGUAUCUCCCUCGAUAACUGACCGGAUAAAAUCCCGACCCGUGGCCAAGUAUGCACAUACCGCUGUAUUUGACUACACAAAUGCAAGAACCUCGCGUACAACUUGUGCGUGUUCGUGCCUCGUUACCAGCGAACAACGUGCUCUCUAUUCUCGCAUUAUGUUUACGUGUCUACGACUAGCAUACUAUACGACACGUUUUAACACGGUUUAUGGUUAUAUAUCUCUGGCCGGUAGCGAAGUAUUGGUGUGCACGAUGCUUUCGAGUACACUCUAGGCUGGUCAGAACGAUACAGAAAGUUGCCUACGCCCGCCGACGGAGAACAGGUGCAUCGGCCUGAAGUACAACGAGGAAAAUUAUUGAUUUUCGUUUACCUACUGAGCCGGUUGGUGUCCCGUGCUAGCAUGGCGAAUGCAACGCCGUCCCUUGGCACGACUGGGACGCCCUGCAUUCGAAGACAAUGGCCUUAGGUCAGUGAGCCUGGUGCCAUCGUGACACCGUGAAAAUCGAACGUGCCCCAAAAUGGGAACUGACUUGUUAUCACCGACAGAACAGUAACUUUCUCCUCUCUUAUUUCAACUUUCCGUUUCCAGUCCGCGUAAACGACGUUAAAAAGACAAUCGUUCGACUAAUCGAUGUUUUUUUAAGUCGAAGAAGAUGCCAGCGACAUCGAUGUAGCAUAUAUUUACAAUGCAAAAUUCCUAACCUAUUUGCCUUGUAGUCAUAACCGGAGGCAGUAUUAUGUAGGUUAUAAAUUACGGAGAAAGAGACAAUAUAAGACGAAUUGAUUAAAAAAUUAGUCAAAAUCGAAAUCAUGGUUGUUCGUUGUUAUGCGAAUCUUCGCAUGCUACGAUGUGUUUUUGCUGGGGUCUUUGAAAAACAUAAAUUGCGUUUACCGUACGUGUUAUGAAAGAUACGAUCGAUCUAUAUAGUAUCAGAUAGAUCAAAUACGCUUUGAACGAAAUCACAGUCGAAAAUGAAUAGCGUCUGAAGAUAUCUAUGUACUAAUUUUUAUUUAAUAUUUUUAUUAUUUUCUAUGCCAUUAAAACACUGAUAUGUUUCUAUCUAAUCGCUGUGAUUCACGAAUAUGCACAGUUUUUCGUAGACGCGUAUAAUAUUUUUAAUUAGCGUGAUUGAUACGGAUAGUAUUUAUGUUGGAACGUAAUCUUUUUUUUAUUAGAUAAGCAACAAAGCGAAAAAAGAUUAAUUAGCAAGGUAAUUUAACAAAAUGACAAAAUCACCACAAUGGAAUAAUACUGUGUUGUGAAAUACUGCGGAGAUGGUAGUUCUUAGCAGUAAUAGAACAAUCGCGAGAUUAAACAAGAAAAACGAUAAAAUUAUUCAUCGUUCUUCGUAGAAAAACAAGCGUGACUGAUUUUUGUAAUAGUUCAAGAAACGUUAAAAAUAUUAAACACAAAGAGAAACAUUCUUGUAAAACAUGUAUGACGGUGUCCCCUCUACGUACAUUUUUCUUCCCUCCAAGUCUUUAAGAAACUAUUUUUACCAAAGUAACAGGCGCGUUUUUCUUCUUCGAACAUAAAAAAGUCAGAGAUUAUGUUACACCGUUCCUUCGCGAGGAAUGCAAGGUUGAUACAGAAAACAAAAUAUUUUUAGUCAUCAGUCAGAAAAGCGAUUAUAGAUUAUAGAAUAAUAAUAGUUAACGAUACGUAGCAAUUGUAAUCGAUAGAAGCGUUUAAUUUUUAAUACGCUACGUUUAUUGGAAAAGUAUAAAAUAUAAAAGAGUGCGGGGUAGAUCUCGAGGAUUGAAUCGAUCAAGCGAAUCGGUAAACACGCAUCAACUCUCACUCUCCGUUGCAAGAUUUAUGGAAUUCCUAACGGAUGUUACAAACCGUAGAAAAAGAAAGGAACGCCGUAAACGAGCUUUCAACUAAACAAAUUAAAGCACAUGAGAUAAAUGAAAUGUAAUUGAAUAAAUGAAACAUAAUUUUUAAGGUUAA